UUCCUACGGGAGGCUGCAGUAGGGAAUAUUGGGCAAUGGAUGCAAGUCUGACCCAGCCAUGCCGCGUGGAGGAAGAAGGUCCUCUGGAUUGUAAACUCCUUUUUUGGGGGAAGAAGAGACACCUUGCGAGGUGUUGUGACGGUACCCUAAGAAUAAGCCACGGCUAACUACGUGCCAGCAGCCGCGGUAAUACGUAGGUGGCAAGCGUUGUCCGGAUUUAUUGGGUUUAAAGGGUGCGUAGGUGGUUUAAUAAGUCAGUGGUGAAAGCUGGUUGCUCAACAAUCAAGUUGCCAUUGAUACUGUUAGACUUGAGAGAAGUGGAGGCUGGUGGAAUGGAUGGUGUAGCGGUGAAAUGCAUAGAUAUCAUCCAGAACGUCAAUUGCGAAGGCAGCUGGCUGUACUUUUUCUGACACUGAGGCACGAAAGUGUGGGGAUCAAACAGGAUUAGAUACCCGGGUAGUCG
rnacentral:rRNA from 1 species